CUUUCAGCAUUUUAUAAAUGUUGAUUAAAAAAAAAAAGUUGACACAAGCUGAACAGAGGAAGCAAGAGAGAAGAAGUAAUCUGAUAUCCUGUUGUCCUUAACUUGCAGUAUUUUCUCAGAGCUAGAACACUUCGUGCUUGGGAUACCAAGAAGCUGUAUGGAAAAUAUUCACAAACAGCAUGGAAAUCUGCUAGUGGAACAUAAAAAGGAAACAGUAAACUGACCACAAGUUGGUUAAUGUUGGUUGUUUUUGUUGUUUUUCGUUUGGUUUUCUUUAAUUUCAAAAUUUAUAUAAACUUUUCUAAACUUUUCUGUAAUGUUUUAACCUGAUCUGCUGUCAAUUUAUAUCAAGCUGCUAUCAAUUUCACUACAAAAUUUUAAAAAUCAGAUAAAUAUUUUUUCUCUGACCUUUCAACUGUAAUAAUCUUAAGCAAUUUAGUGUUGAUAAUAGAAUACAAUAGUUUUAGGUUUUACCUUGUAACAUAUAAAAAAAGUCCAAAGUGUGAUUUUUUUUUUAAGUUGACAGUGACACUUCAAAGCAAAUUGACACUUGGAAGAUUUUUAUUUUGGGAUUCUUCCCUUGCAAACAGACAUUGUCAAGGGUCCCUGUAAACAUCACAUUAAUCUCAGAUCUGUCUCUAAUUCCCUGUUCCUUCCCUUUCCUUACUAUUCCCUUCUAAGACAACAAUAUUAUAGACAAUUUAAAUCAAACAUGUCUCUAGCUAAGCAACAGAGGAUACUAAUAAUGGUAAUUAACCCAGCCUAGUAAUUAUUCUCUCAUCCCACCAGCAAUUAUAAAUAUAAAGUAAGAACAAUGAGCACUCAAUCUGAUAUUGAUAAUUUAAUUUUCUCAUGCCAUGUAAUAAUAAACAGGUUAAUGCUACCAUGACAAUCACUGGUAACAAUUAAGCAUAUCUAUGUGGAAGUCACCAUCCAUGCUGCAGCGUAAGUGGGAGAAUAGGGGUAACUCACUGUCAAUAAUGACAGUAAUAACUAAGUGCAAUAGAAGGGGUGAAACUGAAGGCAGGCUGAGCAUAUUCUGUGUUCGCCAUUCUUGCAUGUUUCUCAACUGAUCUCAUUCCUCCCUGAGUUAGGUAGGUAGCAUGAGCCAUGAGGCUUCCUUUAAAGCCAUCUUGUCGAUCAAUGGUAGAUACAGAUUAAUCUAGAAUUAUAGCGACAUUAUGGAUAGAGAUGGAGUGGAUAGCUACUGCUUAGUGGUGUCAAUUUUAUAUCUCUGCUUUUGUGGAGGGUGUGCUAUGGGUAGGUACCUACUUAACUUGUGGUGAGACAGAUUUUUUCAUGGCCUGCUAGUGGCACAUAGAGUCAACUUCACAGACAUUUCACGGUGGCCCUGCUAUGGUGAAGGUGAAGGUGCUGAUUGGUGGAGAGGACCCAGCAGGGGAACAGGGAGAAGGACGCAGCUGCCUUCUUGUCUGCUGCUCUUUGUGCCGCCCUGCCAGUUGGCACCUUCUUCUCCUAGCAGCAAGGGCCACUGGUUCCCACUGGGGAGUCAGAAUUUUAUUUUAUUGGAGGUUUUUUUGUUCAUUUAGUGGAUUUUGCAGACAGUCCUGAAAUGUGUGGUUUCCAUGAAAUCUGCAAAACCAUGAACUAAGUAGGUCCCUAGCUAUAGGUGUGGUAAUUUUCACUGUGUUCUAUCUUAUGUGAAAAGUAUCAAAUAUGAAGGAGAUACUGACCUACGUAUUAGACACAGCACUACAUGAUUCUGUGUCUGGCUUCAGUACAAGAUGAACUGAGAUUGUUCCCUGCUGUAACAUUUUUUUGUAGCAGUCAGUCACGGACAAAUCGUUAUCAAAGCCAUAUCUAAAAGAAUUGAAGUUUUGCAUUCAUUCCCUUUCCACUUACUUUUGAGAUGGAUAUUUUGAUUCACAUGGAUAAGAAACACCACCCAAAUUUUGAUGCAUCUACACAAGCCUUUCCAUACGCACUGAAAUGAGAUGCUUUUUUUAUUUCUGUUUCUUGACUAAGAUUAUGAUUGCUGAAGGUCAUCUUCUGGGUGCUCACUAAAGAGAGAGAAAGAGUGAGAGAGAGAAAGAGAGAGAGCAUGAGACAGAGCCUUGUGACCACUUCUGAAGAAUACCAGUGAAUCCAACAAGUCAAGAAAAUUAUGGCAUGAAGAGAAGAAUGAUUAUUCUGGUUUAAAGUGGAGAGAGAUUUUCUGCAGUGUUGCUGAUUUUCUUCUAACUUGUUUAUCUGUCCACUUCUAUCCCACAUCUUCAACAAACUAAGGAAGAGUCUUAACCAGUGAUAGGCAACCUGUUCCAGCUGCAGGCCAGAAUGAAUGAUCCACCCCUGGUGAAAGACAAGCAAGCACCAGGACCCCGCCACCACUUGUCCCUGCAGCAGCACGGAAGGAGUGCCCACAGUUGGUGCUCAUCUCCAUGGCAGGACAAGGAAAAUGCCCUCUGCCAAAUGCUGCCAUGUUCGUGGGCCAGAUCCAAAGUUCCUGUGUGCUGUAAGCCUUGACAAAAGUUACCUCUGGUUCCAUCUAAAUGCUGCUGGUAUCCUGGACUCCUUCCAGUUCUGCUUCCAGCUGAUGUGUGGAAUAGAAAUGGCUCUAGUGGCACAAGCAGAUUGUUCCCUGCUCUAGAAUGUAUUAAAAUUCCUUUUAAUGUUUAACAUUAAAAUUCCUUUUAGCCAUGGAUCAUAUUCAUAUUGCUGGACCUUCCCACCACCUUUGGUCGUACCAGGUGUGAAAUCUUCUUGUCCCACCUCAUAGAUAAUUGGGAAGUGUUUUCAGAAGUACACAGCAAAGGCUUCCAUUGCAGUUAGCUUAAGAGGGGUACCCCCAAGCUUCCAGACUUCUAUGCAUCUAACAUUCAAAUACUCUCAUUUUCAUGGUGUACUUCUUGUUCUCACUAUUAACAUUGCAAGCCUAUACACAAUCUGAAUCAUCAGAUAACAUGUUUCUGACAAGAAAAUUUGGUCCAUCCCUGUUCAAAGCAGCACACAAGUCCAGUCUUACACUGUAGCCAACAAUCUCUGAGGAGCAUGAUAAUUAGAGCUGCUGCGGAAUUAUUUAGACUCAAUUAAUGAUAAAAAAACCACUUAAUAGAUGCUUUUGGCAGCUACUGUACAACUUAGUUGUUAAAUAACUGCAAUUAUACAAGCAAUUAAAGUAUAAUUAUAAUCAGCAAGUGAGAGUUGUAAAAAGCAAAAUGUGAAGAGACAGUAACACUUCAGAUAAUCCAUUAAGUACCCACUUACUUCAGUAUUCCCUUAUAGCUCAAGAUAAGCAGAAUUACAGCACAGACUUCAUUGUGAAGACUAGCAACACUUCCUGCAUUGGUGUGUGAUUUCUGGGGCACAAGGCAAGCUCUAGGCAGGGCAGUACUCCAGUAUCUAGAUUUUGAGGGAUAUACAGAGUAGUCAGAGCCAAUUUGUCUUUCAUCUACUUUUGCCUCACUUCUAAGCCAGGCUCACUCUCACUUGCUAAUUCAUGCUCGCUCUCUCUCUCUCUCCAGACCCUGCAUCAUGGUGAAAGGGAAAUUUUAUAACCAGAGGUGUUCAUAACAUCCCAAAAGGGCCAAGCUAUACUUGUAAGCACAUAUAAUUUCCUCC